CCUACGGGCGGCAGCAGUGGGGAAUAUUGGACAAUGGGCGAAAGCCUGAUCCAGCCAUGCCGCGUGUGUGAAGAAGGCCUUCGGGUUGUAAAGCACUUUCAGUGGGGAAGAAAGCCUUGGGGCCAAUACCCUCGAGGAAGGACAUCACCCACAGAAGAAGCACCGGCUAACUCCGUGCCAGCAGCCGCGGUAAUACGGAGGGUGCGAGCGUUAAUCGGAAUUACUGGGCGUAAAGCGCGCGUAGGCGGUCUGAUAAGCCGGUUGUGAAAGCCCCGGGCUCAACCUGGGAACGGCAUCCGGAACUGUCAGGCUAGAGUGCAGGAGAGGAAGGUAGAAUUCCCGGUGUAGCGGUGAAAUGCGUAGAGAUCGGGAGGAAUACCAGUGGCGAAGGCGGCCUUCUGGACUGACACUGACGCUGAGGUGCGAAAGCGUGGGUAGCAAACAGGAUUAGAUACCCGAGUAGU
rnacentral:rRNA from 1 species